AUUGAACGCUGGCGGCAGGCCCAACACAUGCAAGUCGAACGGUAACAGGAAGCAGCUUGCUGCUUUGCUGACGAGUGGCGGACGGGUGAGUAAUGUCUGGGAAACUGCCUGAUGGAGGGGGAUAACUACUGGAAACGGUAGCUAAUACCGCAUAACGUCGCAAGACCAAAGAGGGGGACCUUCGGGCCUCUUGCCAUCGGAUGUGCCCAGAUGGGAUUAGCUAGUAGGUGGGGUAACGGCUCACCUAGGCGACGAUCCCUAGCUGGUCUGAGAGGAUGACCAGCCACGCUGGAACUGAGACACGGUCCAGACUCCUACGGGAGGCAGCAGUGGGGAAUAUUGCACAAUGGGCGCAAGCCUGAUGCAGCCAUGCCGCGUGUAUGAAGAAGGCCUUCGGGUUGUAAAGUACUUUCAGCGGGGAGGAAGGGAGUAAAGUUAAUACCUUUGCUCAUUGACGUUACCCGCAGAAGAAGCACCGGCUAACUCCGUG
rnacentral:rRNA from 1 species